rnacentral:tRNA from 1 species
AAGGUUGUAGCAUAAUUGGUUAAUGCAAUUCGCUCAUAAUGGAUCUUAUGUGGGUUCAAUUCCCGCCGGCCUUA